ensembl:lncRNA
AAAUCUGUUUUUCAGUCUUUUGAUAACUGCUAUGUCCUAGUGAGAGUCCUAGGUCCUCCUGUUUCUACUGUGGCUUGACGUCUGUGUUCACUGCAGAAAGAAAUGCUGCGCUUCGGUUGGCAUUACUAAAUGCUUAGUGAACAUUUUUUCCCCUCACUCCAAGUUCACAGAUGGCUGAGUUCCUAACAAGGACCCCAGCUUAAGAAGGAGCUGGUGGAUGCUGGGGAGAUCCAGGUCUUCCAACAAAUGAUUGGAGUCUGUCCCCAGGGGAUCGAGGGGGUGGAGAGAGAGGAGGAGCCCUGUGUUCCGCGGGUAUCGACCCCAGCCCAGGCGCACCACAGGGCCUUGGGAGCCUCAACCUGGCUUUCCCGAUCUCGCUGUUCUAGAGGUUUCAGAGAAGCCGCUGGCAGCUCCCUGCGGAGACUUUGCCCUCACUGAUGAAUGGCUGCUGCAGCGCAUCUAUUGACCCAGCCCUUUGUUUUCGAGAAGCAACCUGCCUUUCUCCUGUUAACCCCUGCCGGCCUGGCUCCGAACAGGAUGCCUUCUGUGCUCCGGACCCGGCACCAGGGCAAGAGAGGGUAGGAGAGAGACUUCAGACCCCGGGUCUGCCCGAACUUCAAAUGCUGUGCUCUCUCCGGGAUUCCAGAAGCUUUUAGCCAUGCUUCGCCACGCGGCUGUCAGCAGCAUCCCACCAUCAUCGACUGUUCCCUCCUCCUUGAACUGUCCUCUGCUCCUGGAUGUGGUGACUGGACACCCACCUGGACCACCUCCUUUCCCUCCUCUGCAGGUUCGUUCCUCUCUGCCAGCCACUGAAAGAGAGGGGUCCUCAGGACCCUGGCCUGGACUCUGCCUUAAUUUUCAGUUGCUGAGAAACAAAGGAACCUCAAAUGUAGCAGCUUGGAAAGCAAGCGUUCAUUAUCUGCUUCUCUGGGUCAGGGGCCUGGCUCUUGCACAGCUAGGUGUCUCCCGGUAGGAGUCUCACAAAGCUGCCGUGAAGACCUUGCCUGGAGCUGAGUCAUCACCCGAAAGCUCCACCAAGGCCCUUGAGGCUGCUUUCAGUCUCCUCCAUGUGGUUACUGGCAGGAGUCAUUUUCUCUCAGGAUGUUGGACGGAGGGUGUCAGGCUCCCAUCGGCUGUUGGUCAGAGGUCUCCUUGGGUCCUUGCCAUGUGCGUCUAUCUGUAGGGCAGCUUGCACCAUGGUAGGCAUCCCUCAGAGCAAGUGACUUGGGGAAAGGACAGCCAAGGUGGAAGCCAGUCUUUGUAAUCUAAUCUCGGCAAUGACAACCCAUCACUUUUACUAUACUCCGUUUUUUAGAAGCAAGUCAGUAUGUUCCAGCCCACAUUUAAGAGAUACUGUUUGCGUGCUAAGUCACUUCAGUCAUGUCUUUGCGACUCUAUGGACUGUAGCCCACCAGGCUCCUCUGUCCAUGGGAUUCUCCAGGCAAGGAUACUGGAGUGGGUUGCCAUGCCCUCCUCCAGGGGAUCUUCCUGACCCAGGGAUUGAACCCGUGUCUCUUAUGUCUCUGGCACUGACAGGUUCUUUACUGGGAGGUGGAGAUUAUACUGUGGCUAUCUUAGCAGUUGCCUGCCACAGGCUCCCUUCUCUUCUCACUACACCUUGGAUACCUUUAAACUUUAAUUACCAACCACAUGGGAGAGCGAGAUGACUUACAAAUUUAUAUUUGCAGUCCAGACCUCCCCUCUGAGUUCCAGACUUAUGUCUGACUGAUCAGUUGCCAUUUCACUUGGAUUUCUCAAGGGCUACUCAAAUAGAGACUGUCUGAAGCUGGACUCGUGGGCUUCCCCCAGACCUGGCCUUCCUCCUCUCUGCCCUACUUGUGGGUUCUGGUGCAGGGGGAGCUGUGAGAGGGAGAGGCAGGUGGGCGGCUCAGCUCUCCUCCAGGAGGGGCCCAGCUGCUCUCCACUCCCGCAGAUGUUGUCUUCCUCCACCCGGUCAAAGCUGACUCACCUGGGCCAUCAUGUUCCAGACCAAGGGCUGGGGCAGGUGGGAAGAAAGAAAGUGAAGAGUUAGCAAUUUCCUUUUUAAAAGACGCGGAAAUAGAGACAGACACAGAGAACAAACGUGUGGACAUCAAGGGCAGAAGAGGGGGUGGGAUGAGUUAGGAGACUGGGACUGACAUAUACACACCGUGAAGUCGCUCAGUCGUGUCCGACUCUUUGCGACCCCAUGGACUGUAGCCUACCAGGUUCCUCCGUCCGUAGAAUCUUCCAGG